GAUGAACGCUGGCUACAGGCUUAACACAUGCAAGUCGAGGGGAAACGACGGGGAAGCUUGCUUCCCCGGGCGUCGACCGGCGCGCGGGUGAGUAACGCGUAUCCAACCUGCCUCUGACUGAGGGAUAACCCGUCGAAAGUCGGCCUAAUACCUCAUGGCAUCGUCUGCGGGCAUCCAACGACGAUUAAAGAUUUCAUCGGUCAGGGAUGGGGAUGCGUCUGAUUAGCUUGUUGGCGGGGUAACGGCCCACCAAGGCUACGAUCAGUAGGGGUUCUGAGAGGAAGGUCCCCCACAUUGGAACUGAGACACGGUCCAAACUCCUACGGGAGGCAGCAGUGAGGAAUAUUGGUCAAUGGGCGGGAGCCUGAACCAGCCAAGUAGCGUGCAGGAUGACGGCCCUAUGGGUUGUAAACUGCUUUUAUGCGGGGAUAAAGUGAGGGACGUGUCCUUCAUUGCAGGUACCGCAUGAAUAAGGACCGGCUAAUUCCGUG
rnacentral:rRNA from 1 species